rnacentral:rRNA from 1 species
UACGGAGGGGGCUAGCGUUGUUCGGAAUUACUGGGCGUAAAGCGUGCGCAGGCGGUUAUGUAAGACAGAUGUGAAAUCCCCGGGCUCAACCUGGGAACUGCAUUUGUGACUGCAUAGCUAGAGUACGGUAGAGGGGGAUGGAAUUCCGACGUGUAGCAGUGAAAUGCGUAGAGAUGCUGGAGGGAACACCCGAUGGCGAAGGCAGCCCCCUGGGCUAACACUGACGCUCGAUGCCACGAAAGCCGUGGGGAGCAA